rnacentral:rRNA from 1 species
CACUCCUACGGGAGGCAGCAGUGGGGAAUUUUGGACAAUGGGCGAAAGCCUGAUCCAGCCAUGCCGCGUGCAGGAUGAAGGCCUUCGGGUUGUAAACUGCUUUUGUACGGAACGAAACGGCCUUUUCUAAUAAAGAGGGCUAAUGACGGUACCGUAAGAAUAAGCACCGGCUAACUACGUGCCAGCAGCCGCGGUAAUACGUAGGGUGCAAGCGUUAAUCGGAAUUACUGGGCGUAAAGCGUGCGCAGGCGGUUAUGUAAGACAGUUGUGAAAUCCCCGGGCUCAACCUGGGAACUGCAUCUGUGACUGCAUAGCUAGAGUACGGUAGAGGGGGAUGGAAUUCCGCGUGUAGCAGUGAAAUGCGUAGAUAUGCGGAGGAACACCGAUGGCGAAGGCAAUCCCCUGGACCUGUACUGACGCUCAUGCACGAAAGCGUGGGGAGCAAACAGGAUUAGAAACCCGAGUAGUCCCAUGA